UACAGAGGGUGCAAGCGUUAAUCGGAGUUACUGGGCGUAAAGGGCGCGUAGGCGGUUAUUUAAGUGAGAUGUGAAAUCCCUGGGCUUAACCUAGGAACUGCAUCUUAUACUGGGUAACUGGAGUACUGUAGAGGAGAGUGGAAUUCCCGGUGUAGCGGUGAAAUGCGCAGAUAUCGGGAAGAACACCCGUGGCGAAGGCGGCUCUCUGGGACGGUACUGACGCUGAGACGCGAAAGCGUGGGGAGCGAACAGG
rnacentral:rRNA from 1 species